rnacentral:lncRNA from 1 species
UUUGGUGUAGUAAACACUGUCACAUUAAGAAGGCUAAUAUGUCAAGUAUAUACAUUAAGUAGCUAUGUAACAUGUAUAUGUAUAUAUCAUUUUAAUUCAAAGACAUGCAUUUGGAGUGUUUCAACCCAUCCUAGAAUGUUCAAAGAAAAUUUAGCUAUUUUUUCAUGUAUCCAUCAAAUAGGCUUCGUGUUUCUUAUAAAAGUAACUCUAUUAUAUUUUCACAAAUUGUUUUGUUUUUCAUAACUUUAACACAUCUUUGUCUAUAUAAACUAUCAUUUUCUUUAAUUCUUUUUUUUCUAGGUUAGUUUUCAAAAAUAACAUAUUAUGAUUUCAAUACAUUAUAUUUUAGAUAUUUAGAUUUAAAAAAAUCUCAAAUAUCAUUAAAUUACAAUUUAAGUCAAUAAAAUUAAUCAUAAAAAAAUUGCGAAUUCUCUUGUUUUAGUGUUUAAAACAUAUUUUAAACUUUAAAAAUAAAAAAUAAAAUAAGUAAAUCAAUCUACCAAUGUUGAUUUGGUGUAGUAAAUAUUGUCACAUUAAGAAGGCAAAUAUGUUAAACAUAUACAUUAAGUAGCUAAGUAACAUGUAUAUGUAUAUAUCAUUUUAAUUCAAAGACAUGCAUUUGGAGUGUUUCAACCCAUCCUAUAAUGUUCAAUACAAAUUUAGCUAUUUUUUC